UAUGUAGGCGGCGCUGUUAGUCGGGUGUGAAAUCCCUCGGCUCAACCGAGGAAUUGCGCCCGAUACUGCAGUGCUUGAGGGAGACAGAGGUAAGCGGAACUGAUGGUGGAGCGGUGAAAUGCGUUGAUAUCAUCAGGAACACCGGUGGCGAAAGCGGCUUACUGGGUCUCUUCUGACGCUGAGAUACGAAAGCUAGGGGAGCGAAGGG
rnacentral:rRNA from 1 species